GUGAACGCCGGCGGUAGGCCUAACACAUGCAAGUCGAACGGCAGCACAGUAAGAGCUUGCUCUUACGGGUGGCGCGUGGCGGACGGGUGAGGAAUACACCGGAAUCUACUUUUUCGUGGGGGAUAACGUAGGGAAACUUACGCUAAUACCGCAUACGACCUCCGGGUGAAAGCAGGGGAUCUUCGGACCUUGCGCGAUUGAAUGAGCCGAUGUCGGAUUAGCUAGUUGGCGGGGUAAAGGCCCACCAAGGCGACGAUCCGUAGCUGGUCUGAGAGGAUGAUCAGCCACACUGGAACUGAGACACGGUCCAGACUCCUACGGGAGGCAGCAGUGGGGAAUAUUGGACAAUGGGCGCAAGUCUGAUCCAGCCAUACCGCGUGGGUGAAGAAGGCCUUCGGGUUGUAAAGCCCUUUUGUUGGGAAAGAAAAGCAGCAGGUUAAUACCCCGCUGUUCUGACGGUACCCAAAGAAUAAGCACCGGCUAACUUCGUG
rnacentral:rRNA from 1 species